rnacentral:rRNA from 1 species
GGGCAUAGGUACAUCUCCAUGGAAGGAUUUUUGUAUCCUAGGUGCGGGGUGACGGAAUGGGAGGAUCGGAUCGUACGUAUCGACUGUACGUGGAAGCGGCAAGACGUUGAUCCCUGUAGGCAAAUCCGCAGGGAGAGUCGAGUCGUGAUCCCAAAUGCCCCUCCGUAUGGUGGGGUGAGUCCGUCCCCUUCUGUUUCCAAGAAAACCCUCGCAUCGAGAGCUAUGUGAAACCGUACCGCAAACCAACACUGGUGGGGUGGUCGAGUAGACUAAGGUGCUCGGGAUAACUCGCGUCAAGGAACUCGGCAAAAAAGCGUCCGUAACUUCGGAAUAAGGACUGCCCUGAAGCGAGCAUGCUCUGCUUCGGGGCUGCAACUAAAGAGGCCAGGCGACUGUUUACCAAAAACACAGGUCCCUGCAAAAGCGGCUAAGCUGAUGUAUAGGGACUGAUGCCUGCCCAGUGCCAGAAGGUCACGGAAGGGGGUUCACGCUCCCGACCUAAGCCCUGGUGAACGGCGGCCGUAACGAUAACGGUCCUAAGGUAGCGAAAUUCCUUGUCGGGUAAGUUCCGACCCGCACGAAUGGUAUAACGGUCUGGUCACUGUCUCGACGCGAGUCCCGGUGAAAUUGCAAACACGGUAAAAAUGCCGUGCAAAUAACGGAAAGGCGAAAAGACCCUAUGCAGCUUUACUAUACGUUGGCAUUGAGUCUCUGGAUUGCUUGCGCAGGAUAGGUGGGAGGCUUUGAAACCGUGGCUUCGGCUGCGGUGGAGCCGACCUUGAGAUACCACCCUUGCGUUCCGGUGAUUCUCACUGCGAGCCUGAAACAGGCCGUAGGACAGUGCUUACUGGGUAGUUUAACUGGGGCGGUUUCCUCCUAAAAAGUAACGGAGGAGCGCAAUGGUUGACUUACGCCGGAUGGAAAUCGGCGUGAAAGUGUAUUCGCACAAGUCAGCCUGACUGUGAGGCCUACAAGCCGAGCAGGGCGGAAACGCGGUGAAAGUGAUCCGGCAACCUGAAUCAUUCACUUGAUUCUUACCACGUGGGUGGGUUGUCGCUCAUCGGAUAAAAGUUACGCUAGGGAUAACAGGCUUAUCGCGCCCAAGCGCCCACAGUGACGGCGCGGUUUGGCACCUCGAUGUCGGCUCAUCACAUCCUGGGGGUGAAGAAGCUCCCAAGGGUUUGGCUGUUCGCCAAUUAAAGUGGUACGCGAGCUGGGUUCAGAACGUCGUGAGACAGUUUGGCCUCUACCUUCCGUUAUCGUUUGGAACAUUGAGGGAAGCCGCUCCUAGUACGAGAGGACCGGAGUGGACGAACCUCUGGUGUACCUGUUGUCCUGUCAGGGGCAUCGCAGGGUAGCUAUGUUCGGAAGGGAUAACCGCUGAAAGCAUCUAAGUGGGAAGCCCAUCCCAAGAUUAGCGUUCCCCAUAAGCCCGCUUGAAGAACACGAGCGAGAUCGGCUCCAGGUGUACGCACCGCAAGGUGUUUAGCCUUCGAGUACGAACGGGCGAUUGCUUUA